GACGAACGCUGGCGGCGCGCUUAACACAUGCAAGUCGAGCGAUAACCAUGGCUUCGGCCAUGGGGAGAGCGGCGAACGGGUGAGUAACACGUGAGUAAUCUGCCCUCGACACUGGGAUAGCCCGGGGGAAACCCGGAUUAAUACCGGAUAGCCUCUCGAGCUUUCGGGCUCGUGAGAAAAGAUGGCUUCGGCUUUCGGUUGAGGAGGAGCUUGCGGCGGAUUAGCUUGUUGGUGAGGAACGGCCCACCAAGGCGACGAUCCGUAGCUGGUCUGAGAGGACGAUCAGCCACACUGGGACUGAGACACGGCCCAGACUCCUACGGGAGGCAGCAGUGGGGAAUCUUGCGCAAUGGGCGAAAGCCUGACGCAGCGACGCCGCGUGAGGGAAGAAGG
rnacentral:rRNA from 1 species